rnacentral:rRNA from 1 species
CGCGUGCUUGCACCUGGUGGCGAGUGGCGAACGGGUGAGUAAUGCGUCGGAACGUACCGAGUAAUGGGGGAUAACGUAGCGAAAGUUGUGCUAAUACCGCAUACGACCUGAGGGUGAAAGUGGGGGACCGCAAGGCCUCACGUGAUUGGAGCGGCCGACGUCUGAUUAGCUAGUUGGUGGGGUAAGGGCCUACCAAGGCGACGAUCAGUAGCGGGUCUGAGAGGAUGAUCCGCCACACUGGGACUGAGACACGGCCCAGACUCCUACGGGAGGCAGCAGUGGGGAAUUUUGGACAAUGGGCGCAAGCCUGAUCCAGCCAUUCCGCGUGAGUGAAGAAGGCCUUCGGGUUGUAAAGCUCUUUCGGCAGGAACGAAACGGCGGGCUCUAACAUAGCCUGUUACUGACGGUACCUGCAGAAGAAGCACCGGCUAACUACGUGCCAGCAGCCGCGGUAAUACGUAGGGUGCGAGCGUUAAUCGGAAUUACUGGGCGUAAAGCGUGCGCAGGCGGAUUGUUAAGCAAGACGUGAAAUCCCCGGGCUUAACCUGGGAAUGGCGUUUUGAACUGGCAGUCUAGAGUGCGUCAGAGGGGGGUGGAAUUCCACGUGUAGCAGUGAAAUGCGUAGAGAUGUGGAGGAACACCGAUGGCGAAGGCAGCCCCCUGGGAUGACACUGACGCUCAUGUACGAAAGCGUGGGUAGCAAACAGGAUUAGAUACCCUGGUAGUCCACGCCCUAAACGAUGUCAACUGGUUGUUGGGGGAGUGAAAUCCCUUAGUAACGAAGCUAACGCGUGAAGUGACCGCCUGGGA